rnacentral:rRNA from 1 species
GGCCAGCAUCGGUUUGGAUGGUAGGAUAAUGACUAAGGAAUGUGGCUCUACUUCGGUGGAGUGUUAUAGCCUNNGUUGAUACUGCCNGUCUAGACCGAGGCUGCGUCUUUUGACUAGGAUGUUGGCAUAAU